rnacentral:rRNA from 1 species
UACGUAGGUGGCAAGCGUUGUCCGGAUUUACUGGGCGUAAAGAGCGCGCAGGCGGUCGUUCAAGUCGCGUGUGAAAGCCCCCGGCUCAACUGGGGAGGGUCACGCGAUACUGAUCGACUGGAAGGCAGGAGAGGGUAGUGGAAUUCCCGGUGUAGUGGUGAAAUGCGUAGAUAUCGGGAGGAACACCAGUGGCGAAGGCGACUACCUGGCCUGUUCUUGACGCUGAGGCGCGAAGGCUAGGGGAGCGAAGGG